ACUCCUACGGGAGGCAGCAGUGGGGAAUAGUUGCACAAUGGGGGAAACCCUGAUGCAGCCAUGCCGCGUGUGUGAAGAAGGCCUUCGGUUGUAAGCACUUUCAGUAGGGAGGAAGGUAGUGUAGUUAACACCUGCAUUAUUUUGACGUUACCUACAGAAGAAGCACCGGCUAACUCCGUGCCAGCAGCCGCGGUAAUACGGAGGGUGCGAGCGUUAAUCGGAAUUACUGGGCGUAAAGCGCAUGCAGGCGGCCUGUUAAGUCAGAUGUGAAAGCCCGGGGCUUAACCUCGGAAUUGCAUUUGAAACUGGCAGGCUAGAGUCUUGUAGAGGGGGGUA
rnacentral:rRNA from 1 species